UACAGAGGGUGCUAGCGUUGUUCGGAAUUACUGGGCGUAAAGGGCGCGCAUGCGGGACCGUAAGCCAGAAGUGAAAUCCCGGAGCUCAACUCCGGAAUUGCUUUUGGAACUGCGGACCUAGAGUGCAUUAGAGGCAAGCGGAAUUCCAAGUGUAGAGGUGAAAUUCGUAGAUAUUUGGAGGAACACCAGUGGCGAAGGCGGCUUGCUGGGAUGUAACUGACGCUGAGGCGCGAAAGCGUGGGUAGCAAACAGG
rnacentral:rRNA from 1 species